rnacentral:rRNA from 1 species
CUACAGGUCGCUCCAGUGAGGAAUAUUGCACAAUGGGGGGAACCCUGAUGCAGCAACGCCGCGUGGAGGAUGACGCAUUUCGGUGUGUAAACUCCUUUUAUAUGUCAAGAAAAUGACGGUAGCAUAUGAAUAAGCACCGGCUAACUCCGUGCCAGCAGCCGCGGUAAUACGGAGGGUGCAAGCGUUACUCGGAAUCACUGGGCGUAAAGGACGCGUAGGCGGGCUUGUAAGUCAGGUGUGAAAUCCUACAGCUUAACUGUAGAACUGCACUUGAAACUACGAGCCUAGAGUAUGGGAGGGGGAGAUGGAAUUAGUGGUGUAGGGGUAAAAUCCGUAGAUAUCACUAGGAAUACCUAAAGCGAAGGCGAUCUCCUGGAACAUAACUGACGCUAAGGCGUGAAAGCGUGGGGAGCAAACAGGAUUAGAUACCCUUGUAGUC